UCGUUGGUGGUUCGUAACCAUCCCACCAGAUAAAAAAACUAGGGAGAA
rnacentral:ncRNA from 1 species